rnacentral:tRNA from 1 species
GCCUGGCUGGCUGAGUCGGUAGAGCAUGUGACUCCUGAUUGGUCUCAAAGCCGUGAGUUCAAGCCCCACGCCGGAUA